CUCACACACAACUUGUUUUAUUUACAUUUAAAAAUCGAGCGUCCUUAUUGAAAGACCCUUUAUAUACGUAUUGUGAUUAUGCGAACA